rnacentral:rRNA from 1 species
UAGGCGGGCGGCUUAGACAUGCAAGUCGAGCGGUAGCACAAGAGAGCUUGCUCCCCUGGUGACGAGCGGCGGACGGGUGAGUAAUGUCUGGGAAACUGCCUGAUGGAGGGGGAUAACUACUGGAAACGGUAGCUAAUACCGCAUAACGUCGCAAGACCAAAGAGGGGGACCUUCGGGCCUCUUGCCAUCAGAUGUGCCCAGAUGGGAUUAGCUAGUAGGUGGGGUAAUGGCUCACCUAGGCGACGAUCCCUAGCUGGUCUGAGAGGAUGACCAGCCACACUGGAACUGAGACACGGUCCAGACUCCUACGGGAGGCAGCAGUGGGGAAUAUUGCACAAUGGGCGCAAGCCUGAUGCAGCCAUGCCGCGUGUGUGAAGAAGGCCUUCGGGUUGUAAAGCACUUUCAGCGAGGAGGAAGGUGGUGAACUUAAUACGUUCAUCAAUUGACGUUACUCGCAGAAGAAGCACCGGCUAACUCCGUGCCAGCAGCCGCGGUAAUACGGAGGGUGCAAGCGUUAAUCGGAAUUACUGGGCGUAAAGCGCACGCAGGCGGUUUGUUAAGUCAGAUCUGAAAUCCCCGGGCUCAACCUGGGAACUGCAGUUGAAACUGGCAAGCUAGAGUCUCGUAGAGGGGGGUAGAAUUCCAGGUGUAGCGGUGAAAUGCGUAGAGAUCUGGAGGAAUACCGGUGGCGAAGGCGGCCCCCUGGACGAAGACUGACGCUCAGGUGCGAAAGCGUGGGGAGCAAACAGGAUUAGAUACCCUGGUAGUCCACGCUGUAAACGAUGUCGAUUUGGAGGUUGUGCCCUUGAGGCGUGGCUUCCGGAGCUAACGCGUUAAAUCGACCGCCUGGGGAGUACGGCCGCAAGGUUAAAACUCAAAUGAAUUGACGGGGGCCCGCACAAGCGGUGGAGCAUGUGGUUUAAUUCGAUGCAACGCGAAGAACCUUACCUACUCUUGACAUCCAGAGAACUUUCCAGAGAUGGAUAUGGUGCCUUCGGGAACUCUGAGACAGGUGCUGCAUGGCUGUCGUCAGCUCGUGUUGUGAAAUGUUGGGUUAAUUCCCGCAACGAGCGCAACCCUUAUCCUUUGUUGCCAGGGUUCGGCCGGGAACUCAAAGGAGACUGCCAGUGAUAAACUGGAGGAAGGUGGGGAUGACGUCAAGUCAUCAUGGCCCUUACGAGUAGGGCUACACACGUGCUACAAUGGCAUAUACAAAGAGAAGCGACCUCGCGAGAGCAAGCGGACCUCAUAAAGUAUGUCGUAGUCCGGAUUGGAGUCUGCAACUCGACUCCAUGAAGUCGGAAUCGCUAGUAAUCGUAGAUCAGAAUGCUACGGUGAAUACGUUCCCGGGCCUUGUACACACCGCCCGUCACACCAUGGGAGUGGGUUGCAAAAGAAGUAGGUAGCUUAACCCUCGGGAGGGCGCAUACCCAUUA